rnacentral:tRNA from 1 species
GGAAAGGUGGCCGAGUGGUCUAAGGCAGAAGUCUUGAAAACUUCCGGACGUGUGAGCGUCCCGUGGGUUCGAAUCCCACCCUUUCCGCCA